rnacentral:rRNA from 1 species
AUUGAACGCUGGCGGCAUGCCUUACACAUGCAAGUCGAACGGAGUGGCGAACGGGUGAGUAAUGCAUAGGAAUGUGCCCGGUAGUGGGGGAUAACUUCCGGAAAGGGGCGCUAAUACCGCAUACUAUUAGAUGAGCCUAAGUCGGAUUAGCUAGUUGGUGGGGUAAAGGCCUACCAAGGCGACGAUCCGUAACUGGUCUGAGAGGAUGAUCAGUCACACUGGAACGGAGACACGGUCCAGACUCCUACGGGAGGCAGCAGUGGGGAAUGUUGGACAAUUGGCGAAAGCCUGAUCCAGCCAUGCCGCGUGUGUGAAGAAGGUCUUCGGGUUGUAAAGCACUUUAAGUUGGGAAGCGGUACCUGCAGAAUAAGCACCGGCUAACUACGUGCCAGCAGCCGCGGUAAUAC